GGUAAUGUUUACUCCAGUCGGGGGACGUCCAGAAAUCCUUUCAUCUGACCCCGCUGACCCCUUCCUCCUCCUCCUCAUCCUCCUCCUCACAGGGACAAGUGAACUUGAGGAGCUGUUGCCAUUUCAAAUCCUCUGGACUAUUUCCACCCCGGUGUUUGUACGCAAGUAUUCUCCACCUCAGGGCUCAGUGGGAGUCACAUUUAAACACCUCCGUCGUCCGCCCGCCACACGUUCUAUGACACACCUGUUGUGGCGUGCUAACCAACAGCAGCCCAACGGUGAAGACGUGCUUUAAAACCAUCGAGUCUCUGGAAUUGUUUAACAUUUGGUUUCAACAGCCUUAAAUGAUGCAUGUUGGUCUCUGUCACUUUUUUUGUUUUAUGUUUUUUUAUUUUAUUUAAUAUUUUGGGUCAGGUUUCCUCUAAAAAGGGGAGCUUUCCACUCUCAGGCUGCAUGUGCUUAGAGGGCUAAAGAAGAUGCUACUGAAUGUAAAUGCAAAUUUAUUAGAAAAACAAAAAACAUGCAUAAAAAAUGUUUAUGGAUUCAUGCACAAGACCAAAAUGUUUCUUUUCUGUUGACAUAGAGGUGAAGUUUAUUUCUAUUAUUCUCAAAAGAGCAGACGUUCAUUUAUUAACACCUUUGUAACAAUAAGUAUUCAUGUUCAUAAAAUCAGUUUAUUGCUUCUUCUUAUGACUCUUCCGUUUUCUUUAAAAAAAUUCAUGCAGUUUCCCUUUUGGACAGCAGAGGGCGCGUGGCUAUCAGCUGUCACUUUGAAGCGCGUGCUGCUUUGGGAUGCAUAUUGCAUAACAACAUGCAUACUGCAUAAGGCUGAAGCACGAAGAUGGAGACCUUUUAGAGCCAGGACGCAGGCUUUCAUGCUUCUUCUUUUUUAAAUAUUUAUUGCAGGGAUGGAGGCAUUUUUCUGUUAAUUACAGGAACUACAAAGUAGACAUCCAAAAAAAAAAUCCUAAUUUCUCUAAAAAGAGCCUUAAUCUGCUGUUUAUUCAAAAAGCAAAAAUCCAGAUUUGACUUAAAGUGAUCAUUUUAUUUUAUUUUUUAAGUGUUUGCUGAUCAAGGUUUCUUCGAAAAAGCUGUAGAAUCUGCGAACUGCAGCAAAUGUGUCAAAAUAUCAGCAUUACAACACAGCAGAGGGGGAUUUCUACGAUAAAUGGAACAGGAUGGACCCGCGGACGCGCCAAGAGUGAAAUCAUGCUCCACUCACUGGAAGAGUUGCCUUCACGUGCCGUGGGAAAUGCUACUGAUCGGGUCAUCUUGUUAAACGUGGAAUGGAAUUCUAAAGUUUGUAUCGUCGUAUAAAAGAGGAAAUGUUACGGUGACAGUUUUUGAUCAGUUUCUCCUAAAACCAAUACGCCAAAAAAGACUAAACUAUUAAUUUUGUUGGGGGAAAAAUGGCCACAAUGUUUAUUGAAACAUACAGUGGCUUGAAUAUCUUUUUUAACCCCAAAUAUCUUUAUAUUAAUUGGUGCAAAACGUAAAUAGAAGACUAAAACUAACUUCAAUUAAACAACAAACAAAUAUUAUUUUAAAACAACUAUUGUAGUACUUUAAGAAGAAAAUGUGUAUAUUAGUGACACUUUACAAACCUAUAUAUUAUUCCAGUGACUUAAUUGUAGACCUAGUAUUCUAUAAUUUUCCCCAAAUCUAAUAAUUGUUACUUCAAAGUGAAAUCCAAGUAAAUAAUUAAGUAAAUAAUAAUAUUCAAAUUAGCUAGUUAUAGAAGUUCUAAAGUACAAAUUUUAAUUGUGUCAUUUAUUUUAAUUUUAUUUAUAAAAGCUAGUUUGCUACACAAAAAACACACAAAUAAAAGAAAUUUCAAGUAAUUAUAAAUUGUGUUUUAAGGUCAUGCAAAGUUUAAAAAGUCAAUUCUAAUUUUUCUACUAUUACAAGUUUUGUUUUUGGUGUUUGAAUGUACUGUUUUUGUAAAAGUGUUUUUAUUUUCUACCUUAGAACUAGGUGACUGGUAUCUUCAUUUUUAUUUUUUAACUGUGAUUUGAAUAAGAAACCUGUACAAGAGAGGAAACUUCACUGUCAGAGUUACUUUGAGGUUCCGUGAACGCACCGCGCUCCGGGGUACUAGUCCAGCGGCGGGUGACGGUCCGGCUCUACGGUAGCUGCUCCGCUCCGCUCCAAAGCCGCGAAAGAGCCGAACGGGACAGGGUUUUUUUUUUUCUCCAGGGGGGUGGGGGGCAGCCUGACAGGCAGCGUGUCGGGGUGGGGAGGGGGCCGGUGCUAUAAAUGGGAUUAAAGCGCUGAGGCGGCAGGAGUAGUGAUAGUAGAGAGGAGGGAGAGCCCGACUCAACAGCACUGCGGCGCAUGUGCUCCCGCGUGCCCGCUCCGUCCGCGGCGGAGGAGGAACUAGCACCCCCGAAAAACUGACAAGAGACCAACGGUAGCUGCAGCUCCACGGAGCCCGCGUUCAGGCUUCCCCCUUGGGGGUGAAGUAGCUGCAAACCGGCGGAGGGGUUGAUGUUGAUGUGGGAGAGAAGGGGGGGAGUGGACUUAAGGGGUGUUUGAUUCUCCAAACUUGCUAAAACUCAACUUGAAUAGAAGUUUUUGCUUUAUUUUUACAC
ensembl:lncRNA